GUGGACCAACAGAUGAGACCCUAUGCAAGAAAACAUGCAUGGAGAACGUGGAAGAAAGUUGGAUAGCACCAGGAACCAUUUUAAAAGGAAUACGAUUACUAAGAAGUGGAAGAAUGGGAAGUAAUGGUUUCUUAGAUUUAUUUAAGAUGAAUGUAAUUGUAUUUCAAAGACAUCGAAAGAUCAAUGAAAGACUCUAGUUUUAUCCUUUUACUUUUAGCU
rnacentral:lncRNA from 1 species